rnacentral:rRNA from 1 species
AGAGUUUGAUCCUGGCUCAGGACGAACGCUGGCGGCGUGCCUAAUACAUGCAAGUCGAGCGGACAGAUGGGAGCUUGCUCCCUGAAGUCAGCGGCGGACGGGUGAGUAACACGUGGGCAACCUGCCUGUAAGACUGGGAUAACUCCGGGAAACCGGGGCUAAUACCGGAUAAUUCUUUUCCUCACAUGAGGGAAAGCUGAAAGAUGGUUUCGGCUAUCACUUACAGAUGGGCCCGCGGCGCAUUAGCUAGUUGGUGAGGUAACGGCUCACCAAGGCAACGAUGCGUAGCCGACCUGAGAGGGUGAUCGGCCACACUGGGACUGAGACACGGCCCAGACUCCUACGGGAGGCAGCAGAAGGG